CCUACGGGGCGCAGCAGUGGGGAAUAUUGGACAAUGGGCGAAAGCCUGAUCCAGCCAUGCCGCGUGUGUGAAGAAGGCCUUCGGGUUGUAAAGCACUUUCAGUGGGGAAGAAAGCCUUGGGGCUAAUACCCUCGAGGAAGGACAUCACCCACAGAAGAAGCACCGGCUAACUCCGUGCCAGCAGCCGCGGUAAUACGGAGGGUGCGAGCGUUAAUCGGAAUUACUGGGCGUAAAGCGCGCGUAGGCGGUCUGAUAAGCCGGUUGUGAAAGCCCCGGGCUCAACCUGGGAACGGCAUCCGGAACUGUCAGGCUAGAGUGCAGGAGAGGAAGGUAGAAUUCCCGGUGUAGCGGUGAAAUGCGUAGAGAUCGGGAGGAAUACCAGUGGCGAAGGCGGCCUUCUGGACUGACACUGACGCUGAGGUGCGAAAGCGUGGGUAGCAAACAGGAUUAGAAACCCCAGUAGUC
rnacentral:rRNA from 1 species